CGCGACUUUACUGUUGCCAAACCAAAAUCUCCAAUUUUCACCGUCAGGCCUUCAUGGAGAAAUAUAUCUCAAUGCUUGUUAAGGACUCUGGUUUCAAAAGAACGGUCAAGUUAAUUUUAAACCACUUCCCAAAGGUCUGAAGAGCAGACCAUCUCUCUGCUCUGCACCCCGCCCCUCCCCUCCCCUCUGACUGCCCCAGCCUCCUUUGCACUGAUUUGCUUGGAUUUCUACAGUUUUAAAAAGUGCUUCCAAACUGCCUUUCUUCCAUGAGGCAUGUAGCAGUUGCUCAGGGCGGCAGAUUAUUUGGCUCCAGCCAAAAAUCAGGCUAUUUCCCCCUGCUGCUUCUCCCCAUUUACACAUCUAGGUGCCAGGUCCCUGGCCUUCUGACCUUCCCAUGUAACAAGGGAAUCUUAAACCCGAAGAUUUCUC